rnacentral:rRNA from 1 species
CUACGUGCCAGCAGCCGCGGUAAUACGGAGGGUGCGAGCGUUAAUCGGAAUAACUGGGCGUAAAGGGCACGCAGGCGGUUAUUUAAGUGAGGUGUGGAAGCCCCGGGCUUAACCUGGGAAUUGCAUUUCAGACUGGGUAACUAGAGUACUUUAGGGAGGGGUAGAAUUCCACGUGUAGCGGUGAAAUGCGUAGAGAUGUGGAGGAAUACCGAAGGCGAAGGCGGCUUGCUAGCCAAAGACUGACGCUCAUGCACGAAAGCGUGGGGAGCAAAUAGGAUUAGAUACCCUAGUAGUCCACGCCGUAAACGAUGAAUACUAAGUAUUGGGGAAACUCAGUGCUGCAGCUAACGCAAUAAGUAUUCCGCCUGUGGAGUAUGCACGCAAGUGUGAAACAUAAAGGAAUUGACGGGGGCCCGCACAAGCGGUGGAGUAUGUGGUUUAAUUCGACGCAACGCGAAGAACCUUACCAGGCCUUGACAUCCCUUGCAAAGCUGUAGAGAUA